rnacentral:rRNA from 1 species
UACGUAGGGACCGAGCGUUGUCCGGAAUCAUUGGGCGUAAAGAGCGUGUAGGCGGCCACUUAAGUCCUGCGUGAAAUCUUGCGGCUCAACCGCAAGCGGUCGUGGGAAACUGGGUGGCUAGAGUGCGGGAGAGGAGAGUGGAAUUCCUGGUGUAGCGGUGGAAUGCGCAGAUAUCAGGAAGAACACCGGUGGCGAAGGCGGUUCUCUGGCCUUACCUGACGCUGAGGAGCGAAAGCGUGGGGAGCAAACAGG